rnacentral:rRNA from 1 species
GCGCGAAAACUUUACAAUGCGAGAAAUCGUGAUAAGGGAACCCCGAGUGCCCGUAAAUUCGGGCUGUCCAUCAGUGUAAAUAACUGGUGAAGAAAGGGCCGGGCAAGACCGGUGCCAGCCGCCGCGGUAAUACCGGCGGCUCGAGUGGUGGCCACUAUUACUGGGCUUAAAGCGUCCGUAGCUUGAUUGUUAAGUCUCUUGGGAAAUCCACCGGCUCAACCGAUGGGCGUUCAGGAGAAACUGGCAAUCUAGGGACCGGGAGAGGUGAGAGGUACUCCAGGGGUAGGAGUGAAAUCCUGUAAUCCUUGGGGGACCACCUGUGGCGAAGGCGUCUCACUAGAACGGCUCCGACAGUGAGGGACGAAAGCUGGGGGAGCAAACCGGAUUAGAUACCCGGGUAGUCCCAGCUGUAAACGAUGCGCGUUAGGUGUAUCGGUGACCACGAGUCAUCGAGGUGCCGAAGGGAACCGUGAAACGUGCCGCCUGGGAAGUACGGUCGCAAGGCUGAAACUUAAAGGAAUUGGCGGGGGA